UGCUCGCUUUGGCAGCACGUCAUUAAAAUUGGAACGAGGCAGAGAUUAGCAUGGCCCCUGUGCAAGGAUGACACGCAAAUUCAUGAAGCGUUCCAUAUUUUU